GUGCCAGCCGCCGCGGUAAUACGUAGGUGGCGAGCGUUGUCCGGAUUUACUGGGCGUAAAGGGCGUGCAGGCGGUCUGCUAAGUCUAGGGUGAAAGCUCCCGGCUCAACUGGGAGAGGUCCUUGGAUACUGACAGACUUGAGGGAGGCAGAGGAGAAUGGAAUUCCCGGUGUAGUGGUGAUAUGCGUAGAUAUCGGGAGGAACACCAGUGGCGAAGGCGGUUCUCUGGGCCUUACCUGACGCUGAGACGCGAAAGCGUGGGGAGCGAACCGGAUUAGAAACCCUCGUAGUCC
rnacentral:rRNA from 1 species